UGCCUGUACCAGAACCGACACAGGUGGGUAGGUAGAGUAUACUAAGGGGCGCGAGAUAACUCUCUCUAAGGAACUCGGCAAAAUAACUCCGUAACUUCGGGAGAAGGAGUGCCUUCUUUAAGAAGGUUGCAAUAACAAGAUCCAAGCAACUGUUUAUCAAAAACACGGGUCUCCGCUAAGUCGCAAGACGAUGUAUGGGGGCUGACGCCUGCCCAGUGCCAGAGGGUUAAAGAAAUUGGUUAGCUUUGGCGAAGCUGAUGACUGAAGCCCUGGUGAACGGCGGCCGUAACGAUAACGGUCCUAAGGUAGCGAAAUUCCUUGUCGGGUAAGUUCCGACCCGCACGAAAGGCGUAAUGAUUUGGAUACUGUCUCGGAGAGGGACUCGGUGAAAUAGACUUGUCUGUGAAGAUGCGGACUACCUGCACCAGGACAGAAAGACCCUAUGAAGCUUUACUGUAACUUGAAAUUGAAAUUGGACUUUAUUUGCGCAGCAUAGGUGGAAGGCUUGGAAGGUAUUCUUGCGGGACUACUGGAGCCAUCAGUGAGAUACCACUCCUAUAAUGUUAGAUUUCUAACUUUGAAUCAUGAUCUGGUCAAAGAACAGUUUCAGGCGGGCAGUUUGACUGGGGCGGUCGCCUCCCAAAUGGUAACGGAGGCGUACAAAGGUUUCCUCUGAACGGGUAGAAAUCGUAUCUAGAGUGUAAAGGCAUAAGGAAGCUUGACUGUGAGACCUACAAGUCGAGCAGGGACGAAAGUCGGUCUUAGUGAUCUGACGGUGCUGAGUGGAAAGGCCGUCACUCAACGGAUAAAAGUUACUCUAAGGAUAACAGGCUGAUCUCCCCCAAGAGUUCACAUCGACGGGGAGGUUUGGCACCUCGAUGUCGGCUCAUCGCAUCCUGGGGCGGUAGUACGUCCCAAGGGUUGGGCUGUUCGCCCAUGAAAGCGGUACGCGAGCUGGGUUCAGAACGUCGUGAGACAGUUCGGUCCAUAUCCGGUGUAGGCGUUAGAAUAUUGAGAGGAGCCUUCUUUAGUACGAGAGGACCGAGAAGGACAUACCUCUGGUGUACCAGUUAUCGUGCCAACGGUAAACGCUGGGUAGCCAAGUGCGGAGCGGAUAACCGCUGAAAGCAUCUAAGUGGGAAGCCCACCUCAAGAUGAUUGCUCUCACAGGGUUAACCUGGUAAGGUCACGGGAAGACCACCCGUUGAUAGGCACUCGGUGGAAGUCC
rnacentral:rRNA from 1 species